CUACGGGGUGCAGCAGUGGGGAAUUUUGCGCAAUGGGGGAAACCCUGACGCAGCAAUACCGCGUGAAUGAAGAAGGCCUUUGGGUCGUAAAGCUCUUUUCUUGGGGAAGAUAGUGACGGUACCCAAGGAAUAAGCACCGGCUAACUCCGUGCCAGCAGCCGCGGUAAUACGGAGGGUGCAAGCGUUGUUCGGAUUUACUGGGCGUAAAGGGCACGUAGGCGGCACAGCAAGUUAAGGGUGAAAUCCCGGGGCUCAACUCCGGAACUGCUCUUAAAACUGCUGAGCUAGAGAUAGUCAGAGGCGGGUGGAAUUCCAGGUGUAGAGGUGAAAUUCGUAGAUAUCUGGAGGAACACCGGUGGCGAAGGCGGCCCGCUGGGGCUAUUCUGACGCUAAGGUGCGAAAGCGUGGGGAGCAAACGGGAUUAGAUACCCUAGUAGUC
rnacentral:rRNA from 1 species